ensembl:lncRNA uncharacterized LOC114478262
AAAUGAGCAAGAAGGCAAGAAUGAGUUGCUGUUCAUUGUUAGGACUUGUUUCGUUCAUACUUGCUACAGCUGGGCAUUAUUCAACUGAUGCUUUGCUGAUGGUGGCCUUGAGAGGAGAAACAGUAGUUUUGUCAUGUGGUUUACCUCCUGCUGAAUCUUGCUCCUCUAUAAACUGGAACAUGGAAGGAGGGUUUGGAUCCAUUGUUGAGUUGGUGAAGAACGGAGGUGUGACAGCAGGGAACAGAUUCAGACAUGAAUUAUUGGAGGACUGUUCUUUGAAGAUCACACACCUGGAGGUCAGCGAUGCCAGGAUUUACUGCUGUGUGAGUGACUUAUUCAACUCUAGUGUUUCACUGCAACUUCUGAAGGUUACAGAGUGGUCAGACUCUGUAGAAGGCAAAGUGGAGCUUCACUGUUUUCUUGAUAAGUAUACUGGAUACACUGCCUGCAAGCCCAACACUGGGAUCCACAUCCAGUGGGUUGCAGAGGAUGAUUCACCACUACAAGGAGACAGAUUUAUUGUCUCCAAUCCAUCAGAAUGCUUCUCUAAACUAACUAUUACCAGUAAACCAACGGACCAUCACAGAAAAUGGAAAUGCCGUCUCAGUCAAAAUGACAAGCUUACAGCAACCGUCACCUAUAUGACGUCAUUAAAAGAUGGCAUAGAGGAAGUGUUUGCUGCAGUGGGAGACCCUGUGACACUGUCAUGUGGUACUUCCUCUCAUGGCGUGGGAGGCAGCGUGGAUUGGGUGGCGUGUAAGAAGUCACUGUCAAAUACCUCAUCAUCUGUGUGCGGCCAAACCAACACAUUUCACCAGAACAAUGACACACAGCUGGUUAUCACUGAAGUAAGGAAUGAACAUGCUGGAAACUACACAUGUUCACAGACUGUAGGUCAGAAAAAGAUGCUCAACAAUAUUCGACUUCACACCCUUGAUAUCAUUGUGGAGUCAGGCCCGGCCGAGGGUAACACCACCCUGACCUGUGUGCUCACCUGUGCUACAGAGUGUGAUAAAGACUUCACUUUAACUUGGUCUGAGAAGAAUCAACAAAAUGAACAGAAUCCAUUAAUAAUGACUGUUGGCGACACCAUAGUGAAGCCCUUACAGCUCCCAGUGGGGUUACUGGUAUCAGAGGAAGUAACCUGUUCUGUGCACAGUGAGGGCGUGCUGGUGGCAUCAAAGAAAUGGCAUUCUGUCAGCCUUCUACAAAAUGCUGCAUGGUUAGCACGUCCUCUGUGCAUUGUGAUGUGUGUAGCAGCUGGUGGACUCUUCACUUUUAUGUACAUGAAGAAGAGGUACAAGAGAAAUUCAGGUAAUGAAGAGUCAAGAAUGGCAAUGGUAAAAAAUGCAAACAGAGAACAGUUUGUGCAGUAUGUCCAUAUCAUUAGCAUCCUGAUGCUCAUUGUACAUCUCUAUAUUUCAUCUUUAAUGCUGAGGGAUGCAAAGUAUCAGAACACACCAAAGUUACUGUAG